CGGUCACAUCAUGUUGAAACACGAGUUCCCGUACGAUCACCGGAGUUAAGCAACGUCGAGCCUGGGCAGUACCUAAAUAGGUGACCCACUUGCGAAUAUCAGGUGCUGUAAU